rnacentral:rRNA from 1 species
AUUGAACGCUGGCGGCAUGCCUUACACAUGCAAGUCGAACGGUAACAGGUCUUCGGAUGCUGACGAGUGGCGAACGGGUGAGUAAUGCAUCGGAACGUGCCCAGUAGUGGGGGAUAGCCCGGCGAAAGCCGGAUUAAUACCGCAUACGACCUGAGGGUGAAAGGGGGGGAUCGCAAGACCUCUCGCUAUUGGAGCGGCCGAUGUCAGAUUAGCUAGUGGGUGGGGUAAAGGCCUACCAAGGCAACGAUCUGUAGUUGGUCUGAGAGGACGACCAGCCACACUGGGACUGAGACACGGCCCAGACUCCUACGGGAGGCAGCAGUGGGGAAUUUUGGACAAUGGGCGCAAGCCUGAUCCAGCAAUGCCGCGUGCAGGAAGAAGGCCUUCGGGUUGUAAACUGCUUUUGUCAGGGAAGAAAUCUUCUGGGUUAAUACCUCGGGAGGAUGACGGUACCUGAAGAAUAAGCACCGGCUAACUACAUGCCAGCAGCCGCCGUAAUAC